GACAUCCAGAGAACUUAGCAGAGAUGCUUUGGUGCCUUCGGGAACUCUGAGACAGGUGCUGCAUGGCUGUCGUCAGCUCGUGUUGUGAAAUGUUGGGUUAAGUCCCGNAACGAGCGCAACCCUUAUCCUUUGUUGCCAGCGGUUCGGCCGGGAACUCAAAGGAGACUGCCGGUGAUAAACCGGAGGAAGGUGGGGAUGACGUCAAGUCAUCAUGGCCCUUACGGCCAGGGCUACACACGUGCUACAAUGGCGCAUACGAAGAGAAGCGACCUCGCGAGAGCAAGCGGACCUCAUAAAGUGCGUCGUAGUCCGGAUUGGAGUCUGCAACUCGACUCCAUGAAGUCGGAAUCGCUAGUAAUCGUAGAUCAGAAUGCUACGGUGAAUACGUUCCCGGGCCUUGUACACACCGCCCGUCACACCAUGGGAGUGGGUUGCAAAAGAAGUAGGUAGCUUAACCUUCGGGAGGGCGCUUACCACUUUGUGAUUCAUGACUGGGGUGAAGUCGUAACAAGGUAAGCGUAGCGAG
rnacentral:rRNA from 1 species